AUUGAACGCUGGCGGCAUGCCUAACACAUGCAAGUCGAACGCGAAAGCGGCUUCGGUCGCGAGUAGAGUGGCGGACGGGUGAGUAAUGCUUAGGAAUCUGCCCGAUAGUGGGGGAUAACUCGGGGAAACUCGAGCUAAUACCGCAUACGUCCUACGGGAGAAAGUGGGGGACCUUUGGCCUCACGCUAUCGGAUGAGCCUAAGUCGGAUUAGCUAGUUGGUAGGGUAAAGGCCUACCAAGGCGACGAUCCGUAGCUGGUUUGAGAGGACGAUCAGCCACACUGGGACUGAGACACGGCCCAGACUCCUACGGGAGGCAGCAGUGGGGAAUAUUGCACAAUGGGCGAAAGCCUGAUGCAGCAAUGCCGCGUGUGUGAAGAAGGCCUGCGGGUUGUAAAGCACUUUCAGUAGGGAGGAAAAGCGACUGGCUAAUAUCUGGUCGUCUUGACGUAACCUACAGAAGAAGCACCGGCUAACUCCG
rnacentral:rRNA from 1 species